UUGAGCGAUUUACUUCGGUAAAGAGCGGCGGACGGGUGAGUAACGCGUGGGUAACCUACCCUGUACACACGGAUAACAUACCGAAAGGUAUGCUAAUACGGGAUAAUAUAUUUGAGAGGCAUCUCUUGAAUAUCAAAGGUGAGCCAGUACAGGAUGGACCCGCGUCUGAUUAGCUAGUUGGUAAGGUAACGGCUUACCAAGGCGACGAGCAGUAGCCGACCUGAGAGGGUGAUCGGCCACAUUGGAACUGAGACACGGUCCAAACUCCUACGGGAGGCAGCAGGGGGGAAUAUUGCACAAUGGGCGGAAGCCUGAUGCAGCAACGCCGCGGGAGUGAUGAAGGCCUUCGGG
rnacentral:rRNA from 1 species